rnacentral:rRNA from 1 species
UACGUAGGCAGCGAGCGUUGUUCGGAGUUACUGGGCGUAAAGCGUGUGUAGGCGGGUCCGUAAGGAACUUGGUAAAUCCCAUGGCUCAACCAUGGAACUGCUUGGUAUACUGCGGAUCUUGAGCCACCUAGGGGCAAGUGGAACAAACGGUGGAGCGGUGAAAUGCGUAGAUAUCGUUUGGAACGCCAAUGGUGAAAACAACUUGCUGGGGGUGUGCUGACGCUGAGACACGAAAGCCAGGGGAGCAAACGGG